AAUGGACGAAAGUCUGACGGAGCAACGCCGCGUGAGUGAUGAAGGCUUUCGGGUCGUAAAACUCUGUUGUUAGGGAAGAACAAGUGCUAGUUGAAUAAGCUGGCACCUUGACGGUACCUAACCAGAAAGCCACGGCUAACUACGUGCCAGCAGCCGCGGUAAUACGUAGGUGGCAAGCGUUAUCCGGAAUUAUUGGGCGUAAAGCGCGCGCAGGUGGUUUCUUAAGUCUGAUGUGAAAGCCCACGGCUCAACCGUGGAGGGUCAUUGGAGACUGGGAGACUUGAGUGCAGAAGAGGAGAGUGGAAUUCCCUGUGUAGCGGUGAAAUGCGUA
rnacentral:rRNA from 1 species